UUUCCGUAGGUGAACCUGCGGAAGGAUCAUUCAUAAUAAAGUGUUUUAUGGCACUUUUUAAAAAUCCAUAUCUACCUUGUGUGCAAUGUUAGAUCUCGUCAAUCUUGGCGAGAUUUUUAUACAUCAACUCAUUCUUUAACUAAUUUGUCUGAAAAAUAUUAUGAAUACUUAAUUCAAAAUACAACUUUCAACAACGGAUCUCUUGGCUCUC
rnacentral:misc_RNA from 1 species